GCCGGGAUGGCGAAAUUGGCAGACGCGCACGUUUCAGGGGCGUGUGGGUUUUCCCAUGCGGGUUCGACCCCCGCUCCCGGCA
rnacentral:tRNA from 1 species